CCCGCCACUAUAGCAGUCUGAUAUAUGACUGUGUAUAAUCCAGUGGUGCGCUAAGAACAAAACCCUUCUUAGGAAACAGGUUCAUUCUGUGUGUGAGUGAUUCUGUGCCGAAAGAUAGGGAACACAU